CAGGAGAGGUGCAGAUUCAGCUAAACAAUGAACACUGAAAGAGAUUUAUGUCUCACUGCACCUCCUCUAAUGGACUUCUUCAUCAUCUGAAGAAAAUGUUAAUGACUGAGGCAAUAGCAGCACCUAUCAGCUCUCCAUUCUCCAUCUAAUGACCUAUGCCCACCUCCACUUUCAUCCUAGGAACCUGCUGACAAAGUGCUGCUGUCUGCUCCAGCUCCAGCAUGGCCUGGACGCUCUCUCCUCUCUCUCCCGCACCAAGGCAACGGCCUCUGGUUGAGAGAGCCAGUCCCCCACCUCUCCUUCCGGUCGCCAGGUGGAAGAAUGAAGCGGUGCUGUUUGA